rnacentral:rRNA from 1 species
AUUGCUAUCGGAGUCCGAUUUAGCCAUGCUAGUUGCACGAGUUCACACUCGUAGCAUAUAGCUCAGUAACACGUGGUCAAGCUACCCUGCAGACACGGACAACCUCGGGAAACUGAGGCUAAUCCGCGAUACCGAUCCCACGCUGGAAUGCCGGGAUCCACAAACGCUCCGGCGCUGCAGGAUGCGGCUGCGGCCGAUUAGGUAGRCGGUGGGGUAACGGCCCACCGUGCCGAUAAUCGGUACGGGUUGUGAGAGCAAGAGCCCGGAGACGGAAUCUGAGACAAGAUUCCGGGCCCUACGGGGCGCAGCAGGCGCGAAACCUUUACACUGCACGCAAGUGCGAUAAGGGGACUCCGAGUGCGAGGGCAUAUAGUCCUCGCUUUUGAGAACCGUAAGGCGGUUCUCGAAUAAGAGCUGGGCAAGACCGGUGCCAGCCGCCGCGGUAAUACCGGCAGCUCAAGUGAUGGCCAAUCUUAUUGGGCCUAAAGCGUCCGUAGCU